CGGGGUGAGUAACGCGUGGAAAACCUGCCGUAUACUGGGGGAUAACACUUAGAAAUAGGUGCUAAUACCGCAUAAGCGCACAGACCCGCAUGGGACAGUGUGGAAAACAAAAAGCUAAAGCUUUUUGUGGUAUACGAUGGUUCCGCGUCUGAUUAGCUUGUUGGCGGGGUAACGGCCCACCAAGGCGACGAUCAGUAGCCGGCCUGAGAGGGUGAACGGCCACAUUGGGACUGAGACACGGCCCAGACUCCUACGGGAGGCAGCAG
rnacentral:rRNA from 1 species